rnacentral:sRNA from 12 species
UUAUUAUACCAGAAGGGAAAUACCCUUUGUUCGGUGUACAGAUAAGAUUAGAUUGAAAAAUUAAGUGUAUUGUAAAUAUACCUACUUAUCUGGAAAGAGUCAGUCAGCUGGCUCUUUUUUUAUGGCAU